UCCGCCACACGGCGGGCGGAGACACGGCACGGACUCCUACGGGAGGCAGCAGUGGGGAAUAUUGGACAAUGGGGGAAACCCUGAUCCAGCCAUGCCGCGUGUGUGAAGAAGGCCUUUUGGUUGUAAAGCACUUUAAGCAGUGAAGAAGACUCCAUGGUUAAUACCCAUGGACGAUGACAUUAGCUGCAGAAUAAGCACCG
rnacentral:rRNA from 1 species